GAAAUGCGAUAAGUCAUGUGAAUUGCAGAAUUCAGUGAAUCAUCGAAUCUUUGAACGCACCUUGCGCUCCUUGGUAUUCCUUGGAGCAUGCCUGUUUGAGUAUCAUGAAAUCUUCAAAGUAAAUCUUUUGUUAACUCAAUUGGUUUCUACUUUGGUAUUGGAGGUCUUUGCAGCUUCACACCUGCUCCUCUUUGUUCAUUAGCUGGAUCUCAGUGUUAUGCUUGGUUCCACUCGGCGUGAUAAGUUAUCUAUCUCUGAGGACACUGUAAAAGGUGGCCAAGGUAAAUGCAGAUGAACCGCUUCUAAUAGUCCAUUGACUUGGACAAUACUUUUAUGAUCUGAUCUCAAAUCAGGUAGGACUACCCGCUGAACUUAAGC
rnacentral:misc_RNA from 1 species